rnacentral:rRNA from 1 species
UACGUAGGGGGCAAGCGUUGUCCGGAAUUAUUGGGCGUAAAGAGCUCGUAGGCGGUUUGUCGCGUCUGCCGUGAAAACCCGAGGCUUAACCUCGUGGCUUGCGGUGGAUACGGGCAGACUAGAGGUAGGUAGGGGAGAAUGGAAUUCCCGGUGUAGCGGUGAAAUGCGCAGAUAUCGGGAGGAACACCGGUGGCGAAGGCGGUUCUCUGGGCCUUACCUGACGCUGAGGAGCGAAAGCGUGGGGAGCGAACAGG